AAAUUGAAGAGUUUGAUCAUGGCUCAGAUUGAACGCUGGCGGCAGGCCUAACACAUGCAAGUCGAACGGUAACAGGAAUCAGCUUGCUGAUUUGCUGACGAGUGGCGGACGGGUGAGUAAUGUCUGGGAAACUGCCUGAUGGAGGGGGAUAACUACUGGAAACGGUAGCUAAUACCGCAUAACGUCGCAAGACCAAAGAGGGGGACCUUCGGGCCUCUUGCCAUCGGAUGUGCCCAGAUGGGAUUAGCUAGUAGGUGGGGUAAAGGCUCACCUAGGCGACGAUCCCUAGCUGGUCUGAGAGGAUGACCAGCCACACUGGAACUGAGACACGGUCCAGACUCCUACGGGAGGCAGCAGUGGGGAAUAUUGCACAAUGGGCGCA
rnacentral:rRNA from 1 species